rnacentral:rRNA from 1 species
CCUCAAAUCAGGUAGGACUACCCGCUGAACUUAAGCAUAUCAAUAAGCGGAGGAAAAGAAACUAACAGGGAUUCCCCUAGUAACUGCGAGUGAAGCGGGAAAAGCUCAAAUUUAAAAUCUGGUGGUCUUUGGCCAUCCGAGUUGUAAUCUAGAGAAGUGUUACCCGUGUCGGACCGUGUACAAGUCUCCUGGAAUGGAGCGUCAUAGAGGGUGAGAAUCCCGUCUUUGACACGGACUACCGAGGCUUUGUGGUGCGCUCUCAAAGAGUCGAGUUGUUUGGGAAUGCAGCUCAAAAUGGGUGGUAAAUUCCAUCUAAAGCUAAAUAUUGGCGAGAGACCGAUAGCGAACAAGUACCGUGAGGGAAAGAUGAAAAGAACUUUGGAAAGAGAGUUAAACAGUACGUGAAAUUGCUGAAAGGGAAACGCUUGAAGUCAGUCGCGUUAGCCGGAAAUCAGCCUUGCUUCUGCUGGGUGUAUUUUCUGGUUGACGGGCCAGCAUCAGUUUUGACCGGUGGAAAAAGUCUAGAGGAAUGUGGCAUCUUCGGAUGUGUUAUAGCCUUUGGUCGUAUACAUCGAUUGGGAGGUGGACAGCUGAC